ACUUCAUGGUUAGGGAAUUGCAUGAGGUUGUCAUUAAACCUAUCCCACACUUCAUACAAAUGCUCCCCAUUGAGUUGACAAAAAUUUGUAAUUUUGUUUCACAAUU
rfam:Capsicum annuum cultivar Zunla-1 chromosome 6, whole genome shotgun sequence